rnacentral:rRNA from 1 species
GAUGAACGCUAGCUACAGGCCUAAUACAUGCAAGUCGAGGGACCGGCGCACGGGUGAGUAACACGUAUCCAACCUCCUCUUUACUCGGGGAUAGCCUUUCCAAUGACAGAUUAAUACUCGAUAUCAAGGAUGGGGAUGCGUUCCAUUAGGUUGUUGGUAAGGUAACGGCUCACCAAGCCUUCGAUGGAUAGGGGUUCUGAGAGGAGGGUCCCCCGCAUUGGAACUGGGACACGAUCCAUACGCGUACGGGCAGUAGGAGUGAGGAAUAUUGGUCAAGAAGCGCUAGCCUGAACCAGCCAAGUAGCGUGAAGGAUGAAGGCUUAUAAAGCUUAAACUUCUGUUAUGUAAGAAUCGGUAUUAUAUGAGUAAGGAUCGGCUAACUCCGUGCCAGCAGCCGCGGUAAUAC